rnacentral:rRNA from 1 species
CGAACGGCAGCACGGGAGCAAUCCUGGUGGCGAGUGGCGAACGGGUGAGUAAUACAUCGGAACGUGUCCUGUAGUGGGGGAUAGCCCGGCGAAAGCCGGAUUAAUACCGCAUACGCUCUGCGGAGGAAAGCGGGGGAUCCUUCGGGACCUCGCGCUACAGGGGCGGCCGAUGGCAGAUUAGCUAGUUGGUGGGGUAAAGGCCUACCAAGGCGACGAUCUGUAGCUGGUCUGAGAGGACGACCAGCCACACUGGGACUGAGACACGGCCCAGACUCCUACGGGAGGCAGCAGUGGGGAAUUUUGGACAAUGGGCGCAAGCCUGAUCCAGCAAUGCCGCGUGUGUGAAGAAGGCCUUCGGGUUGUAAAGCACUUUUGUCCGGAAAGAAAACCUCGUGGUUAAUACCCGUGGGGGAUGACGGUACCGGAAGAAUAAGCACCGGCUAACUACGUGCCAGCAGCCGCGGUAAUACGUAGGGUGCAAGCGUUAAUCGGAAUUACUGGGCGUAAAGCGUGCGCAGGCGGUUCGCUAAGACAGAUGUGAAAUCCCCGGGCUUAACCUGGGAACUGCAUUUGUGACUGGCGGGCUAGAGUAUGGCAGAGGGGGGUAGAAUUCCACGUGUAGCAGUGAAAUGCGUAGAGAUGUGGAGGAAUACCGAUGGCGAAGGCAGCCCCCUGCGCCAAUACUGACGCUCAUGCACGAAAGCGUGGCGAGCAAACAGGAUUAGAUACUCUGGUAGUCCACGCUCUACACGAUGUCAACUAGUUGUCGGGUCUUCAUUGACUUGGUAACGUAGCUAACGCGUGAAGUUGACCGCCUGGGGAGUACGGUCGCAAGAUUAAAACUCAAAGGAAUUGACGGGGACCCGCACAAGCGGUGGAUGAUGUGGAUUAAUUCGAUGCAACGCGAAAAACCUUACCUACCCUUGACAUGUAUGGAACCCUGCUGAGAGGUGGGGGUGCCCGAAAGGGAGCCAUAACACAGGUGCUGCAUGGCUGUCGUC